UACGAAGGGGGCUAGCGUUGCUCGGAAUCACUGGGCGUAAAGCGCACGUAGGCGGACUCUUAAGUCGGGGGUGAAAUCCUGGAGCUCAACUCCAGAACUGCCUUCGAUACUGGGAGUCUUGAGUUCGGGAGAGGUGAGUGGAACUGCGAGUGUAGAGGUGAAAUUCGUAGAUAUUCGCAAGAACACCAGUGGCGAAGGCGACUUACUGGACUGUAACUGACGCUGAGGCAUGAAAGCGUGGGGAGCAAACAGG
rnacentral:rRNA from 1 species